CAAUGCCUGCGGAGAGAAAGA
rnacentral:miRNA from 1 species